rnacentral:rRNA from 1 species
CCUACGGGAGGCAGCAGUGGGGAAUAUUGGGCAAUGGAGGAAACUCUGACCCAGCGACGCCGCGUGCGGGAUGAAGGCCUUCGGGUUGUAAACCGCUUUCAGCAGGGAAGAAGCGAAAGUGACGGUACCUACAGAAGAAGCACCGGCUAACUAUGUGCCAGCAGCCGCGGUAAUACAUAGGGUGCAAGCGUUGUCCGGAAUUAUUGGGCGUAAAGAGCUCGUAGGUGGUUCGUCACGUCGGAUGUGAAAAUCUGGGGCUCAACCCCAGACCUGCAUUCGAUACGGGCGAUCUAGAGUGUGGUAGGGGAGACUGGAAUUCCUGGUGUAGCGGUGGAAUGCGCAGAUAUCAGGAGGAACACCAAUGGCGGAGGCAGGUCUCUGGGCCAUUACUGACACUGAGGAGCGAAAGCGUGGGGAGCGAACAGGAUUAGAUACCCUGGUAGUCCACGCCGUAAACGGUGGGCACUAGUUGUGGGAACCUUCCACGGUUUCUGCGACGCAGCUAACGCAUUAAGUGCCCCGCCUGGGGAGUACGAUCGCAAGNUUAAAACUCAAAGGAAUUGACGGCNGAGAGNGCGACGACGACGACGAGGAGAGG